CUACUAUCAUCUCUGGUGUCUAGAACAAAACCCCAGAGCAUGGAGAAUAUGGCACUCCCUGUCUGUCUACUUUACCUGAGGGGGCUUAACUCUCCCUGUACUACACCUGGGAGAAGCAGCACAGAGGCAACCUGAUGGGAACCAGGCAUCCUGUCCUCUUUAAGGGCUCCUAAUUCUUGACAACCAACUCCUAUGCUAACCCCCCAGGAGGCCGAGGCACCGCCUCCUCCCUGGAGGAAGGGGCCAGGCUGAGGGGCGAUGUCCAGUGCUGACCAAGGAGGACUCCGCGGGGGGCAUACUCAGGCAGCACAGCCCCACAAGUCAGGCAGUGUCCCCUGGGCCAAGGCCAGCCAUCACAGGACUCUUCGUAGAACACACUCCCCCUUGAUCUUCGAACUCUGGCUAUCCACCUCCUCUGAGCUCCGUGCUGACUCCCUGGGACCAGCACCUGUGGCUACUUUCCGCUGCCAGCACUCUCCGUGCGGAGCUCCCCGAGGCCCUCAGACCCGGGCCGCCCCCUCCCCCUGCUGGCAGCGCCACUACGGAAGCUACUUCCCGCCCCCCACUCCCCACUCCCACCUGCUGCCGACGGGGGGAUCUGCCAGACUUGAGGGUCUUGGGGCAGUGUCCUCCCCUUUCUCAGCCGUAGGGGAGGUGCCAGCAGUAGGCAUGGCCACGUUGUGCCUCGUCCCUCCCGCUGCCCCCCCCCGUCCCCCCCACCCCCCCACCCCCGGGGCAGCUCAGCGUCUGCGGGGCCAGCUGGCCGACUGCCAAAUCCUCAUCCCACCCGCGGCCUUGGGGGCCGGAGCAGGAGGUGAGGAACAGGCACAGAUUGUGCAGAGCACCGAUAAGAUGGGCAAAGGGACGUGCCUCUUCAGCUGCAGCAGCCCUGGGAGCUCUGCCCCCCCCUCCCGGGGGGGCUGUGGGGUCCAGGAAUAG
rnacentral:lncRNA from 12 species